rnacentral:rRNA from 1 species
UUGGAGGGCAAGUCUGGUGCCAGCAGCCGCGGUAAUUCCAGCUCCAAUAGCGUAUAUUAAAGUUGUUGCAGUUAAAAAGCUCGUAGUUGAAUUUCGGGAUCAUCAGGUUGGUCGUGCCUCUGGUAUGUACUUUCCUCGAUGGUUCCUCCUUCUUGAAGAUCCGUAAUGUCAUUAAUUUGGUGUUGCGGGGAAUCAGGACUGUUACUUUGAAAAAAUUAGAGUGUUUAAAGCAGGCAAUCGCUUGAAUACAUUAGCAUGGAAUAAUGAAAUAGGACGUUCGAUCCUAUUUUGUUGGUUUCUAGGAUUGACGUAAUGAUUAAUAGGGAUAGUUGGGGGCAUUAGUAUUCAAUUGUCAGAGGUGAAAUUCUUGGACUUAUUGAAGACUAACUACUGCGAAAGCAUUUGCCAAGGAUGUUUUCAUUAAUCAAGAACGAAAGUUAGGGGAUCGAAGACGAUCAGAUACCGUCGUAGUCUUAACCAUAAACUAUGCCGACUAGGGAUCGGAUGAUGUUAAUUUUUUAAUGACUCAUUCGGCGCCUUACGGGAAAC